rnacentral:rRNA from 1 species
GAGAGAGCUUGCUCUCUUGGCGGCGAGUGGCGGACGGGUGAGUAAUAUAUCGGAACGUGCCCAGUAGCGGGGGAUAACUACUCGAAAGAGUGGCUAAUACCGCAUACGCCCUACGGGGGAAAGGGGGGGAUCGCAAGACCUCUCACUAUUGGAGCGGCCGAUAUCGGAUUAGCUAGUUGGUGGGGUAAAGGCUCACCAAGGCAACGAUCCGUAGCUGGUUUGAGAGGACGACCAGCCACACUGGGACUGAGACACGGCCCAGACUCCUACGGGAGGCAGCAGUGGGGAAUUUUGGACAAUGGGGGAAACCCUGAUCCAGCCAUCCCGCGUGUAUGAUGAAGGCCUUCGGGUUGUAAAGUACUUUUGGCAGAGAAGAAAAGGUAUCCCCUAAUACGGGAUACUGCUGACGGUAUCUGCAGAAUAAGCACCGGCUAACUACGUGCCAGCAGCCGCGGUAAUACGUAGGGUGCAAGCGUUAAUCGGAAUUACUGGGCGUAAAGCGUGUGUAGGCGGUUCGGAAAGAAAGAUGUGAAAUCCCAGGGCUCAACCUUGGAACUGCAUUUUUAACUGCCGAGCUAGAGUAUGUCAGAGGGGGGUAGAAUUCCACGUGUAGCAGUGAA